CACGAAGACCAAGUUACAGCAGCUUCCUGAGCAACCAUCAUGCAUGCUGGACCAUCCUGGCCUAGAGGCUGUCUGCCUGAAUGUGUUUUCACUGAAGAAUGCACUGAACAUUUAUCGGGCAGACUGCGGACCUUUACGUCUGAGAAUAGUGUACCAAUAUAGAUACCUAGCCUACAGAAGCUUUGUAAGCUGGUGCUGGUGCUUUCUGAGGCGAAGAGUGAGAGCUGUGCUGCCUGCCUGUGUGGUGCUGAGGAUUCGUGCAGAGCUCCCCGACGCUGAAGGACAGUACGUUAGGUUCAGUCCUGUCCUUGAUUGAACCUUGGCAGGUAACUGGCUAUAACAUCCAGCUUGUUGGGUCUUUCAUACUGAGCCGAGAGGUCUCCAGGGAUUGUAAGUUUCAGCACCUCGUUCACAUAUGGGCCAGGGUCCUGGAAAACCUUCUUGAAGAUCAGGUCCAACAGUGCAUCAACGUAGUCUGCAGUGCAAUAAACAAAAAUAAAUGUUUACAAGAAAAUG